rnacentral:lncRNA from 1 species
GUUGUUUGUUAAAUCUCGAAUUUUCAGGCUCUUGUAUUUCAAUGUCAAAAAUCAUGUUUUCGAUAUAAUUCCAAUAGGCAUUUCUCAUCUCUUUCUGUAAUUGUGUUUUAAUUUGUUUGAAUUUUUUAGUAUGUUUGCUAUCAUGUUUUUUCUUUUUAUAAAAUUUGUUUUUCUUAUUUAUCAGUUUUUUCAAUUUUGAGUCUAUCCAUGGUAGGUGGGUUUUAUUUCCUAUUAGCUUAGUUGGUAUAUGCUUUUGGAUACUUUCUGUUGUUUUUGUUUUAAAGAAAUUCCACAUAUUGUCUAUAUCAAGUUCUAAUUUGUGUUUUUCCAUAUGUGUGUAUGUUUCUUUUAAGUCUUUUCCAAUUUUUUCCAAGUCUGCUUUCUUGUAAAUCAAUACUUUGUGUGGUGACUGUUUGGCUUUCGAAAGGGAAAGAUUUAUUUCACUGAAGAUUAUGUCAUGGUCACCUAGUGGUGGUAAUGUUUCUACUCUGUUUACUAGGGAUGGAUUUGACAUGCACAGUAGAUCAAGUGUGCGUUCAUUUCUUGUUGGUUUGUCAACUACCUGUGUGAGAUUGUGAUCUUGUAAUAUAUCUAAUAGGUGUUGAUGAAGAGAAGGAUCUGGUUUGCUAGGUAUUACUGAUGAAUUUGACCAGUCAAUAUUGCCUAAAUUGAAAUCGUCACUGAGCAUGAUAUUUGCACUGGAUAUGUUGCAUAUCCUAUUUAGUGAGGUACCUAGAUGUUCUAGUGAUUCCCCUUUGUCUGAUGGUGGUCUAUAAUAUGCUCCAAGAUAGGUGGUUUUAUUUCCCGUUGGAGUUAUUUUUGCCCAUAUUAAUUCGCAAUCUUUGUCUAAUUCAGGCACAUGUGAUGUAAUAAGUGUGUUUGUGAUUGCGAGUAGCACACCUCCAUAGCCAUCUUUCCUGUUUUUGGUGUAGAUGGUGUAUUUGGAUGGAGAAAUAUAUUCAUAUGCUGAUGUGUCAUUUGAAAGCCAGGUUUCAGUACCAAAUAUAACAUCAGGUUUGCAUGAGUCUAUCAUCUCAUCAAUUUCUGGCUUUUUGAUUGAUUGAAAAUUAAUAGUGAGUACACGGAGAGGUG